GAUGAACGCUGGCGGCGUGCCUAAUACAUGCAAGUCGAGCGAACAGACGAGGAGCUUGCUCCUCUGACGUUAGCGGCGGACGGGUGAGUAACACGUGGAUAACCUACCUAUAAGACUGGGAUAACUUCGGGAAACCGGAGCUAAUACCGGAUAAUAUAUUGAACCGCAUGGUUCAAUAGUGAAAGACGGUUUUGCUGUCACUUAUAGAUGGAUCCGCGCCGCAUUAGCUAGUUGGUAAGGUAACGGCUUACCAAGGCAACGAUGCGUAGCCGACCUGAGAGGGUGAUCGGCCACACUGAAACUGAGACACGGUCCAGACUCCUACGGGAGGCAGCAGUAGGGAAUCUACCGCAAUGGGCGAAAGCCUGACGGAGCAACGCCGCGUGAGUGAUGAAGGUCUUCGGAUCGUAAAACUCUGUUAUUAGGGAAGAACAAAUGUGUAAGUAACUAUGCACGUCUUGACGGUACCUAAUCAGAAAGCCACGGCGAACUACGU
rnacentral:rRNA from 1 species